AACAAUUAAAGGUUGUGUAGUUGUUGUAAGCAAAAAAGAGAGAUAGAGAGAAAUGGCUAGCUUCACCGCCUCCGCUUCCACCCUCUCGGUCGCUCGUCCUGCUCUCCUUCUCAAGCCCACCGUCGCCGUCUCUGCUCCUGUUCUUGGUAAAGUUCGUUCCCUUGUCUCUUCUUCUAUCUUAGAUCUCACCUUAUACUAGAAACUCAAUCUGGUCACAUGCAAAGCGAAGAUCUCUUGGUUUGCUUUAUAUAUUCCUUGUGUGGUUGAUCUUUAGUAGUUUGGUGGAGAGUCAACAUGAUUUCAAGAAAACCAUUUUGACUAAAAGUUCUUGUUGUGAAUGAAUGUGUGAUUUAAAAAUAUAUAGACCGGAGCUUGCAAGAACCAUUUUGGAAGUCACUGGUUUAGAGUUGUGAACUUGUUUUUAUUAUUGUUGCUCAGGUUUGCCUCCAAUGAGUAAGAGGAAGGGAGGAGUGAAGUGCUCGAUGGAGACCAAGCAAGGAAACGUCUCAGCCGUGGGAGCUGGAGUUUCUGCGGCGGCUACAGCAGCUUUGACAGCUGUGAUGAGCAGCCCGGCUAUGGCUUUGGUGGACGACAGGAUGUCAACUGAGGGAACCGGCUUGCCCUUUGGACUUAGCAACAACCUCUUGGGAUGGAUUCUUUUGGGAGUGUUUGGUUUGAUCUGGACUUUCUACUUUACCUACACUUCAUCUCUCGACGAGGAUGAAGAAUCUGGUCUUUCACUCUAAACAUGAACUAUAUAUGUUCUUCAUCAGUGUCAUCUCUCUCCUUUUCCAUUUUCGUGUGAGGACAUGAACCAAACAGUGUUAUUCUGGUUACUUGUAAUUUAAGCAAACACCAAAAAAACUAUUUUUCAUGUGUACAUGUUUCACAAUCUGUAGAAUCAAAACACCUAAUACAUUUAAGAAACUUAAUUUUGUUUAUUAUAAUAAAAUCUGCAAGAAAAUAAAAACAUUAUAGUAGUUUAAAUUCUCUAAAUAAAUAUUAGAAAAACUCUUAGAUAUUAUUGAAAAAAGAUAAAACAAGAUGACGAACACAAGAAUCUUCUGGAGCUUUAUCCCACAUUAGUCCAAUUUCAUCGUUUGUUUUGUAAGCUUUUGCUCUAGCCAAAGGACUCCGUCCUCUCUUAAACAUGUACCUGCCUUGGUAUUUGAUUAAGACCACUUGGUGAUCCCGAAUUCUUGAUCGUAAUAUAAUCCAUGUCUGGAACUAUAGAAAUCUUCAACCUUUUGUUUUGGUGGAAAUAAAUCCCCUAUAUAUUAUUUGAGAAGCAUUACAACAUUUUUUGUAGCCACAUGUCAUCACUAGAAUGAUUCUUAGAAUCCUUAGAGAAAUAGGUUGGUCCAUCUAAAUAUAAAAUAAGAUUUUUAUUAAAUUAACCAUAAAUAUAUUAUUAAUGUGAUGCAUUACUUCCUUAAAUAAAAUUAUGGAAUUGCCUAAUGUGGCUAAAGUAUAUAUAUGACAAUUAAUUAUUUUGAAUAAUAAAGAUUUGAUAAAAAUAAGUGUGUCUUAUAUUAUAUUUAAUUAAUUUUAAACUAUUAAAAUAAAUUAAACAACCAUAGUAACCAUAUAAUAAAAAUUAAUUUUUUUCUUUAUAUGUUAUACUUUGAAUUUUUUUAAACGAGUAUAAAUUACUAAAACUGUUAAAAGUUUCACAUUCAAAUUUUAUGAUCCAUGGUUUAAAUUUUUGUUAUGACAUGAUACAAAUAAUUAAAAAAUCAUAUAAGUUGAAAGUCUCAUUUAAUAAAUAUUACAAUAAAAGAUAUAGGAAUAUAUGUAUAUAUAUAUAUAUAUAUUAAUCUCAGAGUGAAAAUUUUGUUAUCAGUAAUUUAAUUUUUUUGCUAUAACAGAUAAAAAUGAUAAAAAAAUAUGAGCAAAAUAUAUUAUUUAAUAAAUAUUAAUAUUAAAAUAUACUAUAUAUAUGUUACUAUCAUUUAAAUUUAAUUAUAUACCAUAUCAAAUAUAAAAAAUAUUUUUUGGAUUAAUAAAAUUUAUUUAUAUGUUCGCACCAAUUUAAUUAUAUAAGUUAUAGUUACUGAUUUUUUAAUUAUUCAAUAUAUAUAUAUAUUAUUUCAUAAUAUGUUAGAAACAUAUAAUAUAUAAAAUAGUUUAUAUAUAUAAUGUUCAUCCCGCGCAAGGCGCGGAUCUUAACCUAGUAUAAUAGUAUAGAUGUGGAAAAUUUAUUGGAGUUAUAAAAAAUGAAUCCUCGUCUUUACCGUUUUAUCAAUUGUGAUCUAUGUUCCAGGGAACAUAAACGGGGAUGGAAAACGGCAAAAUUUAAAAACUAUUUGUAAGAGACUAUUUGUUGGACUUAUUACAUAACAUAAAAUGUAAUUGUAAACUUUGUGCGAUAAGGAAAAAGUUAUUACUACCUCUUUUCCAAAAGGAAAAAGUUAUGUGCGAUCAAUGUAUACUUAUUUGUAAGAGACUAUUUGUUGGACUUACUGCAUAACACCGGCAAAAUGUAUUUGAUUGCCUGGUUGUAAAAGACUAUUUGUUGGACUUAUCACUUACUGCAUAACACAGGCAAUAUGUGUUGAUUGAUUCUACGUAUGUCAGUAUUUUUAAUUUAAUUAGUACCACUAUUACUGAUAUUCAAGAAAGCUACGAAUCAUAUAAUUAUGGGACAGAGGAGGAAUGGAGAAAAUGAAUUAGAAGCUCUUAUUUUAUUUGAUCAUUAGAUAAUUUAUUCGGUAAUAAUAACCAUCUUCAAUGCAUAAAUAGUGAAAUAAAGAGACCAAAGUCACUUGCUACCCUGUCCACUGCCAUGCAGAUUAUCAAAGUAACCUUUAGGAUCACUCUCAAAGUUAUCUCUUGAAAUGUAAGAAGAACCAUUGCUCCCCGGAGCCACCAUGUAGCCUCCGCCACUACCGCCACCACUUUUCCCUCCUCCCCCACCGCCACCACCACCGCUCCUACCUCCUCCACUACCGCCGCCGCCACCACCACCACCUUUCCCUCCACCACCACCACCACCGCCACCACCUUUCCCACCACCACCGCUACCGCCUUUUCCUCCCAUUCUUUAAUUCUUAGGUAGAUGUCUAUGAAAUUUUUAAAGUUUGUGUGUGAAUGAUAGUGGAAAGUGUAGAUGGGACUUGGAAGUAUUUAUAAUAGGAAAUUUUUCAAAUGGAUGGUCCAACCAGUCUUUACAAUUAAUUAUAGUCGUUGCAUAGUUAAUUGAUCCAAAGCCAAUCGCCUCGUAAAAGUAAGUAGUAUCAACUCGUAAGGGAAGAAACCCAUGAUUUUUGCCAUUUAAACAUUUAUGGUAGCAAACUAGCAAUAUAAAGCUCGACCAUGUUUUGAUACCUACCAAUGAUCCAUUGUAGCAUAGCGGUUAAAUCACUAAUCUUAUUAUACACUAUACUUGAAACAUAUGUGCAUCCGUGUUCGAUUCCCUCGGAAUUAGAACGUCUUUUAUUUUUUGUUAUGUCAUUGUUCAUGUUUUUUGCCUGUGUUUGUGAAAUUUAAGCAUAAUAUUGUUAUGCAAUUAGUCAUGAAAAUCUAGAAAAUGCACGAUGUCUUGUGUUUGUGAAGAUAUGCACUUUACUUCACGUAGAGUCCCUCAUGAUUCUCAAUAUCUCUUCCCAACUUACCGUGUAUCUCUCUCUUAAGAUUCCCUUCAUCAAAGCCUCCCAAAUCUUAGCGAAAUAAACACAUUCAAAAAAGAGGUGUUCAAGCGUUUCCAAAGGCUCAUUGCAUAGGACACAAGAUACACUGACAGUCCCAUUCCAAAAUCUCAUCCGAUCACCCGUAGAAAGUCUUUCUUUCAUUGCAGUACAUAAAAUGAAUGAGUACUUCGGUGUUGCAUAUUUGAACCACACUUCAUUAUGCCUGUGACUAAGUUGAUGUCUUUCUCUUAUGACCUGCCACGUUUCUCCUGAUGAUACGUAUAUUUUGCCGUUAAAAGAACAUGUGCAAGUUAAUUAGUAGCAACGCAACAUCAAUAGUGAGGACUGAGGAGUUUUGAGUUAUUUUUAACAAAGUCCAUCCAGAGAAGACGUAAUCCAAAAAAUCCCAAUAUACAACUCAAACUAGUUUGAUCCCUUUUAUGUGACUAGUCAAAGAAUAGAAUUGGGUCUUUUCCAAUCCCACUGCUUAAAUUUUGUCGUUUUAAUUUCAAAAUUGGAUGAUUCUCUCUUCUUUGUUGGUUAGUGAUAUGAACUUCAAGCACAUAUUUUGUAACCUAUAAAGAACCGUUUGAGGUGUUUAGAAAAAAAAGAAGCGUUUGUGUUCAAUCACGAAUUGUAUUUGAACCAAUCAAGCUACUUAUCUGUUGUAUGUCAAAUAUUAGGUUAAUCAGUUAGGUUCUUAAACUGAAUUUAUCUCACAUAAAAUAGUCUUAUUUUAGUAUAUGCUAUUAAAUACUUAAUUUUUAUUUAUUUUUGAAAAGACAAACCAAUUACAAUUUGACAAAUGGACAAUAUAUAUUCUAAGAAUUUUUGUGCAGAGAAUUCAUAACACUACUUUUUUUCUAUUUUCUUUUUAUUUUUUAUUUAAGAUACCACAUUAGAAUUCUUUGAUGGAAGUGCUCUUACUCCGUUUGAGCAUGAUUAAUAAAGUUAAGAAACAGUUUCUUAUAUUCCGCUAAAAACCUCACCUUAAAAACCCCUAUUAUUAAUUAUGCUCUCACGGACCUAUUUAAAGCCUAUUGGUUUCUUCCAUUUGGUGUUUUUCGGUCCAUUUUGAUUGAAUUCCACUUCAGGAACAACAACUUACUUUAAUUUUCAUUCUUUUAUUUUUUUUGUUGAAUAAACAUUGUUUUAACUUAAAAUCAAAUACUAGCAAUUAAAAAUAGACUAGUCCAUGUUUCCUAUAUCACUCUAGGUUUCAUCUCAACUCGAGGUUAGAUUCCUAAUACAUUCAUUGAUCUACGUUUAGUUAUAUGAAGGGGGGGGGGGGGGGGGGGGGGGGGUAAGAAUCUUGGCAAAUUGCUGAAAAGGAAGUGGCAAGCAAGAGAAACCCAUAUGUAUUUUUUAUUCCUUCACGAUCACUAGUGAAGUGUGAUUGAGAGAAUCUCCCAAAGAAAACAAUAUAUCUUCUUGUACAGUAACAUGUUCAAGAAUUGGGUUAUUAUUGUUGGCAAAUUGCUGAAAAGGAAGUGGCAAGCAAGAGAAACCCAUAUGUAUUUUUUAUUCCUUCACGAUCACUAGUGAAGUGUGAUUGAGAGAAUCUCCCAAAGAAAACAAUAUAUCUUCUUGUACAGUAACAUGUUCAAGAAUUGGGUUAUUAUUGUUGACACGAUCCGAUCCGAUCAAUCCGUAGAAGAAUAUAAGCAUAUCUCUUGGGUUAUUCUCCACCACCUUGCGCUAUCUCACACCCUUCAUCUGAGCAUGAUUCUUGAAACAAAAUAAUAUUCUUAGAUAAAGAAAAGAAAAAGUUCGGUCCACAUAAAUAUAAAAUUCUAAUUCUCUGGCAUUAAAGAACUUGCAAAUAAAUAUAUAACACAUGUGCCAUAUUCUUUAGCAUAUCUGCAACAAAGAAGCAUAUGGGUUCAAUCGAAAUGCUAAUCUUGGUAUCUAGGAGGAAAAAAAGGGUAGGUGAAUUUUGAUAAUCUGCAACUUUUGUUGGUCCCUCCUUACUAAUAUCAAAUAAAAAAAAAGAAACAAAAUUUUGAUUUGGUUCACAAUAAAGUCACUUUGAUGUACUUGGGGAACCUUAUGGACGAUCUUCUGUGAUCUCUUUUUGGUCUCAACAUUCUUUUCAUCUUCCUUUGUUUUGUUAUAAAUAGCCUAUGAUUCAAGAAACUCAAGUCUCAGGCAACACUGAGCUUGAUACUAUAGGAUAUACAACAACAAAAACUCUUUUCUUCACCCAAAAGCUAGGUUUAUUUCAUGGGCUUUUGGUUUUAAAUAUCUUUCAAUCUACAAGAGAGAAAGAAUUUUGUUUCUUCUUCUCCAAGAAACAAGCCACAGAUUGACUGAGACUUCCUUUAAGAAACCAUGGAUAAAGUUGUGAGAAUGUCUUCGGAUAAAGGAGUGGUUAUAUUCAGCAAGAGCUCGUGUUGCAUGUCCUAUGCGGUCCAGGUGCUCUUCCAAGACCUCGGGGUUCACCCGACUGUCCAUGAGAUAGACAAGGACCCUGAUUGUCGUGAGAUAGAGAAAGCCCUAAUGAGGCUCGGGUGUUCCACACCGGUCCCAGCCAUCUUUGUGGAUGGGAAGCUCGUUGGUUCGACCAAUGAAGUCAUGUCGAUGCACCUUAGCGGCUCGCUGGUUCCGCUGGUUAAGCCAUUUCAAGCUAAUCUAUGUUAAAAUGUGUUCUAACUUUCUAAACUAAACAUAUAAUUCAAUAAGAAACAAUCUAAAUCACAAUCUAAUAGCCGAUGCAAGUAAGCAACCUUUGUAAUGUAGCUUUAUAAAUAUUGUUUGUUUGUAAUUUCAUUAAAGUGAUCCUGUAAUAAUUGACUAGUUUAAGCUUUUAUGGUAAUAUUUCAGGGAAGUAAAAGGAUAUAGCAUUUUUAUUAAAUAUAAUUAAGGAUAAUAAAUAUCAUUCACAGCUAUAUGCUUAAGAGUUAAGACCACACCCCUAAAAGAGAAUACAAAGUGUAUAUAUAUAUAUAUAUAUAUAUUUCUACAUGGCGAUUACAGACAACGAUUUGUCUUGUUGUCUUAUUCAUUACAAGACCAGAAUAAAACGAGUUGUUGUGUCUCACUUGAACUCCAAGAGUUGUGGGUUUAGAGGAGUGCGGGAGAAUCUGAUAUUGAAGACACUGAAGUAACAUUAAUGGGAUGUACAUCAGUUACUUCCUUGUAGGCAUGGGCGUUCAGAUAUUUGGGUUGGAUUUGGGUCGAAUUUUUUCGGUCUAAGUAUUUCAGACCUUAGAUAUUUGGACCGAACUAGAUACUUAAAUUUUGUUGGUUUGGGUUCGGAUCGUUUUUCUCGUAUUUGGAUCAGUUUUUCUGGGGUUCGGAUUAGUUGUUCUAUAAUUAAAAUAUUUGUAAAAUAUCUAUAACUUUUGGAUCUAUAGUGUAUUCAAGUCUGGUUCAGAUAUUUAGGAUCUGAAAAAUCUAAAAUACUCGAAUUUUAUCAAAAUUUUGCCGAAAUCCGUCAUAUUUAUCUUCAAUUUUGUUAAAUAACAAUAAAUAAACUAUUAAUAAUUGAAAUUAAAGUUUUUAAACUCUAAAUUUGACAUUUAAAAUUCCAUAUUAGUUAAAAAUAUUACAAAAAUAAUAAUGAAGAUUGCUGAUAAAAAGACAUUUCAACUAAAAUAUAAAGUAAAAUAUAUAAAAUAGGAAAAAAUAAUAAAAUCAGACUUUUGGAUAUUCACGUUUUUAGGUCAGAUAUGAAUCAGUUCUUAUUGGAUCGGGUUUAUUCGGGUCGGGUUUUUUUGGGUUCGAAUCUAUUCGCGUCGCUUCUUUUCGGUAUGGUACUUUUUGUUAAUUUCAAUGGUGAAAAUUUGUGGUUAUGAGGAGUGUAUUUUGGGCUUGGUAGCAAUGGUUCAGUCAUGGUGUUGAUCGUCCCUAAUCAUCGCAAGUUCUUGGCUAAGUUUCUCCGGCUCUAGUCUAAUGGUUUGGAGCUUUGGUUCAUGUUUACUUAGGUUAUGACCGUAAAUGUAAGUCUUCUCAGGAUUCUCUACUGGUGUUUGGGCUCAGGAAGGAAGCAUGACAGUAUUGUGUUUCCAUGUUCCGCGAGCUCUUGUUUGGGAGCAGUAUUUGUUUCUUGUUCUUUUUUUUUUUAAACACCUUUGUUUCUUGUUCUUUAUUGUGAAGCUAUCGUAUGAAAUCUAAUGAUGCUACUUUCUAUCUUUCACUCUUUGUGUUUUUUCAAUUUAUUUUUACAGAGUUAAUUCUUUGUUGAAUUUCUCCGUUUAUAGAGGGCAUUCUUUACCACUCUAUAAGUCUUUUAUAAUGAUUAUAGAAAGCUAGUGUUUAAAAAAUAUAUAUAUAUGUUAAAGCUUUCUUUUUUUUCCACUAACACUGCAUAACCUAAAACGGAUCUUCUAACAUUGGACUCAACAAACAUAUUAUCGAUCUUCCCAUAAUCCUUUUCACUUACUAUAGAAACAAAUUGAAUUCAAAACCAUAAUGAGACAAGAGAACAUAUACUCCUAGAAGAAACUUUUUAUACAGACAGAACACAAGCAAGUGCAGAAGACAGAGAGAUAAGUCCACAAUAAAUAAUCACGCUGCAAGAGAACAAAGUAAAACAUGUUUAUUUAUAUGAUAACAACAGAUGAAACAGAGCAAACGGAUACAAAAGCAUGCAUAUACUUAGGCUGAGAGUAGUCAGCGACCAAGUUGAGCGCUAGAAAACGUUGUUGUUGCUACUCCUCCACCUGAGCUUGAUGAUGAUGACACAUGAUAUGUAGCAAUAGGCAUUUUGUGUGGCAGAUUAGGCAAUGGUGCCUCCAAAUUCAACACUUGGAUCGCUUGCUUUAUCGAAGGCCUAGAGUUUAUGUCAGGGUGAGCACACCACAACCCUACAAUCAUAACACACUCUGCUUGUUUCAUGUCAUAAUCUUUACCAAUUUGGUGAUCAACGGCUGAGAUAAGUUCUCCUCUUCCGUACUGAUCCCAUACCCUCUCUACAAGACUUGGCUCAGGCUCAACUUUUCCUUGUCUCGGCUCCACUGACUUCUUUCCUGUGACAAUCUCUACCAAAACAAUUCCAAAGCUAUAGACGUCAGACUCUUUGCUAGCCCUUCCGGUGCUUAUGUAUUCAGGAGCCAUGUAACCAAAAGUUCCUGCCAAUCCUGUAGUCUGGGGACCUAGCUCGUGAUCCAUCAACCUAGCCAACCCAAAGUCACCUAGCUUGGCAUUAAAGUUUGAGUCAAGCAUUAUAUUACUUGCCUUAAUGUCCCUGUGGACAAUGCAUUGCUCCCACUCCUCGUGAAGGUAAAGCAACGCGGAGGCUACACUUAGAGAGAUCUUGCACCUAACAGCCCAUGUGAGAUGAGGUUUCUUACCGAAUAGGUGUGAGUCAAGACUACCAUUUGGCAUGAACUCAUAUACAAGCAGAAGCUCUUGUUUCUCAUGACACCAACCAAUGAGUUGAACAAGGUUUCGAUGUCUCAAGCUGCUGAUGAUCUUAACCUCCGUGAUGAACUCUUUCUUUCCCUGUUUAGAAGCACCGGAAAACUUCUUCACUGCGACCAUUGUAUCCAGGUCAUUUAAGUAUCCUUUGUAAACUGCUCCAAACCCUCCUUCACCCAACUUUCUUUCAUACAAGAAGUUGCUUGUAGCUGAAGCAAGAUCUUUAUAAGAAAACCUUCUUGGCCCUGCUCCUCUUUCAAGAUCUUCGUGUAACGAUGUCAAGUUUUCUUCUGUCUUCCCCGCUUUCUCCUUUCUUUGCUUUCUCUUCCGAAACAAUGCAAACGCACCAGCAACUAAAGAGGUCAACAGGACAAACCCAGCAAGAGAAACACCGACAAUGAUGCCUUUCAUGUUUUGAGUUCUCUCUCUAGGUUCUACUACAUCCAAGGUUGAGUUGAACUCCCAAGACAAAAUCCUAUGUGCUUCCGUAUUUGCUCCUGUAGACCCCGAAAAGCCAAUGGUAACUUCCGCAGGAAGCACCUUGGCAAGGUCAAUGAUGUAGAAAAGGCUUGAACUCUCCCGGGGAUUAGAUGUCUCUUCAUAACUCCAAGAGAUGCUCAAGUUUCUAGAAGCAGAAUCAUACGUGAUCCGUGCAUGGCAUGUAUCUUGGCUGUGCAAGCUUGCGUUCCAAGAAGUGUAGUUAGAGGAAGCAAGCGAGUUAUUGUUGAUCCCAACAUGAGAUUUAAUGUCAAGAGGAUCCCACUCAUCAUUAAAGAAAGUAUCAAAUUCGACAUGCACAAGCGGGAACCGAGAUGAGUAGCCGUUGGUUUCGUUAAAGAGACCUAAGAAACCACCAGCUGAAUUAGGAGAGAUAAGGAUGCCUUGAGGGGCAAGAAAGAAAGCAAACCCAUGGCCAAACUCUGUAGAGUUACGUGUAUCAAUCUUGAAGGUGAAACUGGUUGUGAAGUCGGUAGGCCUCCCUGUUUCAGGAUCCCAAAUAGCAACUUUUUUAGCGUAAGUAGCCCAACCAACACGACAAGUAUAACCAGCAUUGUUCAGUUCGAUGGCGCCAUUUGGUGUAGCGUCUCCUUGGUAAGCUAUGUUGGGAUCACCUGGUGUGAAACGUGAGAUGUUAAAGUGGAGUGAGGUAGCAAAAGGGAGAACAAGAAGGACGGAAAAGAACAAGACUGAGUUUUUCAUUGUGCUGGUAGUAAGUUCUGAAACCCGUUAUGCCAUUACUUAUAAUCGUCUUCUUUUUUUUUGUAGACUAGGGACCAUCAAGUCAACUAUGAAACUGAAAUUAUAAAACCAGAAUCAACUUCUGAUACCGAAUCCGAAUCAAAUCCCUGUAACCACGGAGUUUUCUUUUGUCAGUCAACGUAGUCUAUCUGCUACAUGAAAGGAUUCAUUGUGCUAAACAACAUAGUUUAUCCUAAGAAUAAACAAAUGCUAACCCAAAACGAGAAAAUAAGUUUCAUUGGAACACGACGUGAAAAGAACUUUAAAACAUAUAAGGUAUAUACUCAAUAAACAAAAGUAUAUGACACUUAUGUAAUAAACAAUUGUGCAUGAUACUUUGAUGUUCACAAAAGCUCCUAUGUUGAUUGUUUCUUUCUUCGUCAAAUCAAUCAAGCGAGUUUCGAGUGACAAUAUUCGUAAUUUCGUACCGUUGACUAUAUCUGAAUCCAUGCAAGCACCCGAACCAUGUAUAAAGGAUAAGAGAUUACUCAAAUGAAAACGAGAUGUUCUAAACUCGUCUGGCGUUUCCUAAGAAGACGACAUUAGUGUAUGAAUUGGAUGAUGCGUGAUUAGGAAAAUUGACGUAGACAUUGGGCUCUUUUGACAAAUAACAAACUUUGGCCCAAAUUGUUCAUUUUGUUUUCUAGUUGCAUCUAUUUCUUAGCCUUUGUUUUGUUUCAUGCCUCCUUGGUUCAGCCGUCGUGAGGUUGGGACCGCUGUUUAUAAUUACGUAGCCCCACCCACAAUAUUUUUAAGUUUCUGAUCAAGAAUUUGCUCCAAUCCGUUUUGAAAAUUCGGAUAUCUGAAAUUUCCAUAUCCAUAAACAAUAAAUAUGUAGUAUUAUGUUCUACUUUGUGGUUUUCUUUUAUAGAAUUAUAAUCGAACUAAAAUGAAACUGCAAUCCAAAAUAUCAGUCCUUAGAUGACUAGGCACUUUGGUGUAAACUGUUGAUUGAAACUAGACGGCAUUACAGCUCAUGGCGUUUGUACUUUUGUUAAUAGAUGAUAACACCAUCCUCUAUGGUCCAACAAAAUUCAAAGAAUGAAUUCAUCAUUGAAUAAUUUUAUUAGACUUUAUACUAAGACAUACAGCCUUACCACCUUAAGAACUUGAACAAUUAUUCUCUCUGAAUUUAUAGGCUACACACGAGCCUCGUUGCUUUGACCAAUUCGAGUAUUUGCAUUUCAGUGUGGAGUUUGGAUGCGAAACCAUUGUAUAAAAAAAUUAGAAUAGAAGUAAAGAGUUUAUAGAAGCAAGUAUUCCAUCUUGAUAAAAUAAAAUACCCCCACAAGAUUUAGAAUCACCAAAUCAGUCAUGGUGACUCGUGAGUGUGCAACUUCUUUUUCUUGAAAGAGAGAGUGUGCAAACUUGGGGGUUUAAGAAUUCAUCAUAGGAUUAGAAAAUCAAUUUUCGAGUUCUUUCACUGUGAUUUGAAUAAUGAUUAUAGAUUGUUUAAGCAGCGAAAAAUAAUAUAUGCUUUAUAGGUUCUGAAUACUAUUUUAGUUUAAAAAAAUUAUUACGUGAUCGUACUUAGAUUACUUACGAAAACAAAUUUUGUUAGAAGACUGAAAUAUUCUUACUAAAUAACAUAUCAUAUUCACAAGUUCAUUAUAAAAUAUAAAAUCUACGUAAAUCGGUUAGGGUUUUACGUAAAUUCAUACAAUAUGAAUCUUCAAAUUCAAACUACAAAUGUAGUUUAAAGACUAGUCUCACCGGCAGAGAAUUAUUAGGGCAACUAAAGAUAUGAGAUAUCUUAAAGACGAUAGGGAUACGUGUAUAAUAAUGAUUGGACAAAAAUGGGAAACUGGAUUCUGAGAGAUGAUUUGUUGACGUAGCGAAACCUUACACCACGAGGUUUAAGAAGAAGGGAUCACCACAUAUUUGGAGUGGGCCUAUCCAUGACAUGUUCCUACUUUCCCUGACUUCCCUGGCUCCCACACCUCUCAAAUCGUACAUCCACUUUUAAUUUCGCAUUUCUUAGAUUUAUUAUCUGUCAAUGAUUCAUAUGCAUUUUUUUUUGUUAAUUACAUUAAGCAUUUUCUUCCUUUAAUUCAGAAUUUUUAGGCUUUUACAUGUGAAAUCCUUUUUUUCCUUUUUGCUAUCACUUUCUCAUUAACCAAACCAAAAGUAAGAUCGUGGUUUUCAUCUUUGAUCAUUCACUUGGUUUUCAUCUUUUUUUUUUUUUUGAUAAUCCAGGUAUCCGGACCUCUCACUUAGUUCGAAUAUCCCACCAUAUCCAACUGGAACUGGCGAGAAAGGUCUUGGAGACCAAACGAAAACCAUAUUAAAUCCGCCGUGGCAGAAACUCGAACUCGUGAUGACGGAUAUCUCAACCGAGGUUCUUUUACCACCAGACUACGAGGUCCGGUUUGGUUUUCAUCGUUGAUCGAUUCACUUUCUACAGAAUGCUGCAAAAAAAAGAAAAAAACUAAUGCAUGAUAUCGGCUAAUAUUUAAUUUAGAUGACAAUUACGUGUUAUGAGAUAAGUUAAUAUUAGCCAUCUAUAUUCGUCGUCUGUCACAUUUUAUCCUGACUUUUCUGUUCAGUCGCCACGACAUUUUUUUUUGUUAAAACAGUCGCCACGAUAAUACUGGACUUGAUGAUAACCUUUCUUCUGACAAUAUUCCUCAUGUCCACCGUUUUAAAAAAGGAUCUUAAUAUUAUUGGUAUAGUGAACAUCUACGUAUAACUAGUCUAUGUUAUAGGAUCAACGUUUUAAUGAUAAGUUAAUAUUCAAAAAAAUUCAUAAUGAACAACAUAAUAGAUAUUAAAUGUUAUCUACAAAUUAUCAAUAGGUUGGAAAAACGUACGUAUGUUGUUUAUGAAAGGUAUACAUUCCCCAAUUUCCUAAAACAGCAGUCACUACAAGUAUAUAUAUCCAAAUGUGGAAAGGUUAAAAAUAAAAUGGUGAAAAGGAAACUGACCGACGAAGACUAACAGAAAAAUCAGAAUGAUUUAGCUAAAAGAGAUAAUAAUAAUGAAACAACAUAACGAAACGACAAAUGGAAAAAUUAGAAAAAGAAGACGGAAGACGCCAAAAUGUACAUUAAUAUUACAUAGCAAUUGGGUGGAUUGAAUGGGAACACGUUAUGUAAUUUUCAAUAUAUAGUCACUCUCCAAUGAUGCCUCCAUCGUCUCCUUCACUGCACAUCCAAUAACAAUGGCGACUGAAGCAAAUAACCCCAUCAACAUGAACUCAAUGUCUUCAUCUCUUCAGAGAACCGGUCAAUGGUAUGAACCGGUCUAGUCUCAACUAUAUAAGAUAUCUCCCACCAGGUUCAUCCCUGAUCAUAUGAAAUUUCUAACUUGUAUGUGUGUUAAUGCAGGGUUUUCUCACAAGAUAUUCCUACAGAUGUUGUAGUUGAAGUCGGAGAAGCUAAUUUCUCCCUUCACAAGGUAACAACGAAUCAUUUUUACUAUAAAAAGUUCUAACGAUUUUGUUUUGUCUAGGUCCAAAAUGGUUAUAACACGAGAUUUAUUUGUAAAUUUUCUUGAUCUUGUAUAUAGUUCAUGCUAGUGGCGAAGAGCAACUACAUAAGGAAGCUAAUAAUGGAAUCCAAAGACAGUGACGUGACGAGAAUAGAUCUCUCGGAUAUCCCUGGAGGUCCUGAGAUGUUCGAGAAAGCUGCCAAGUUCUGUUACGGUGUUAACUUCGAGAUUACCGUUCAGAACGUGGCGGCUCUUCACUGCGCCGCUGAGUUUCUUCAGAUGACCGAUAAGUACUGCGACAACAACCUCGCGGGUCGGACUCAAGACUUCCUUUCUCAGGUCGCCUUGUCUAGCCUCUCUGGAGCCGUCGUUGUCCUCAAGUCCUGCGAGAUUUUACUUCCUAUUUCUCGGGAUCUUGGUAUUGUCCGCCGUUGUGUGGACGUCGUCGGUGCUAAGGUUUAACUCAUUCUCACUUACUUUAUAAGUGUUUAGUAACAAAGACAAAGUUCAAUCGUAGAAAUCAUAACUAAUAAUAUAAUUGGAAAAUAUUAUAACUAGUAUAUUAGUGAUAUGAGUUAAUCCACUUACGGGAAAUUAGUCUUAUGUUAAAACUCAUCUUAACUAUAUGAUAUCAAAUUUCGAUUCACACAAUCUAACCCGAUCGACAAUUGAUUUGACAUAAAGUUGGUCCAGUCAAUUUGUGUUUCUUAUUCCGAAAUUAAUUACCGAAGAACUAUCAUCUCAGAGACAUAGAGACAUAUAGUAUUGUCAGUUGUCGAAUCGUCUAUUUAAUUUUUUUCAUAAAUGUAAUAUCAUAAUAAAUCAGCGUUAAGAAAAAAUUAUGAGAUAUCUUCUUUUUUUUUUGCCAAAUAAAAUUUAGAAGAGAUCUCCUAAUUCCUAAUGUAUAAAUGAAAUGAGUCAAUCAGUUUGUCACCAAUCAAUUUUAAGUUAAAAUACCAAUAUUAGAUCCUGGUCUUGGUUAGUGUUGGUUACUUUAUUUUCAAACUUUUACAUAACUUAAUUAGUGUUUAGGUUAAUUUAUUUUCCAACAUUUACAUAGUAGUGAGUUAGUAACCAAAGUAAACCCCGAUCUAGUAUUUACAUUCGUUUUCUGAUCAGUUACUUCGGUUUGGUUAACGAUCGGUUUAAUCAACAUAACAUCUAUAUAUUCUCUGUUUCAGUUCCUUGAGUGACAAGUAUCUAAAGUUAAAACCGAACCUGAGGUUUUGUAGUGCUUAUAACAUUAACUGAUGAUACGUUUUUAUUACAGGCUUGCAACGAGGCAAUGUUUCCGUGUCGAACACCACCAAACUGGUGGACAGAGGAGCUCUGUAUCUUAGACGUAGACUUCUUCACCGACGUCGUAGCUUCCAUGAAGCAGAGAGGCCUCAAACCUUCUUCUUUAGCCUCUGCAAUCAUCACCUACACCGAGAGAUCAUUACGCGAUCUCGUCAGAGACCAUUCCGGCAGAGGAAUUAAGUUUUCCGACCCCGAAAACAACGACUCCGAGGAGAGAUCUCAACAGAGAGAUCUCGUGGAAUCCAUCGUCUCUCUAUUACCUUCCGACAAGGGACUUUUCCCUAUCAACUUCCUCUGUUCUCUCCUCCGUUGCGCCGUCUUCUUGGAGGCUUCACUCGCCUCCAAGAACGAGCUGGAGAAACGAAUCUCCGUCGUUCUUGAACACGUCACCGUUGACGAUCUCUUGAUCCCGUCUUUCACCUACGACGGUGAAAGACUAUUAGACCUCGACAGCGUCAGAAGAAUCAUCUCUACCUUCGUCGAGA
rnacentral:lncRNA from 1 species